UUCCCGGAAGUGUACCUCCCACUUUAGUUUUUAUCAUGUUUCAUUGUCGAAGUUAAGCACUGUCCUAUACUGUGCUGAAGGCUUUGAGGAGAGACAACGGCCGGGCAUGGAGGAAGACGUGAUCCCGGAGGAGAGCCUCACUACUGCCUUGAAGCAGCUCGUCAGUCUGGGCAAUGUUUUGCUACAGCAGGCCAAGAAAGACGCGGAGGUCUCCAUGGAGGACUUUGUCCCUUACAAGAUUGCCACUUUGUUGGGCCUGAUUGCAGCCGGAGCAGAGUUCUAUAGGAGUAUCGGAGUGAAGAAGAAAAGCGAAGCCGAGGCUGCCUGGCAGAAGUUGUAUGGCCGUGCACCAGUGAGAGAGCAGGUGGAGGAGCUCCUCCAGCUCCAGAACGAAUGGGACUCCUUCCUGGAGUACGUGGAUCAAAGUCUUCAAUCAUCUUGUGCUCCCGUAAAACCAGGAGGAGAAACAGUGGACAUCUUUAGCCCCGAAACUUUGUUGACUGAUGGACGCAGUGGAAAGAGCGUCACCCUGGAUCACUACCGGUCUCCGGGUCAGAAGCUUCUGCUGGUCCUCAUCAGACACUAUGGAUGACUGCCGUGACGCGACCACGUGGCCGAGCUGGAGGGCAGCAGGGCUGCCCUGGAGGCUCGGUCUGUGAAGGUCGUCGUGGUGGCUUUCGGGGCCCUGAAGGGGGCUCGUUUGUGGCUGCAGCAGACUGGAUGCUCCUUGGACUUAGUACUCGAUCCACACAGAAAGAUCUACCGGAGCUUUGGACUGAUCUCAUCCUGCGCUAAAGUCAUGAACUUUGACUCCAUGCUUCGGUAUUCCGAGUACCAAGCUGCUGACAGAAGCUUCCCAGAAUUCCCCAUGCACAUGCUGGAGGACAUCUACCAGAUGGGAGGUGACUUUUUGCUGAGCGGUACCAACAAAGUCCUUUUGUCCCACCCAAGCAAGUACCCGAUGGACCGACCCACCCUCAGCGACAUCCUACGGACAGCGUCUGGCUCGACCGAGCUCGUCGCGCAGGAAGUAAGCGGUAGUGGCACGCCAAUGCACGCCGAUGACGUCACGCCUCGCACUCACAAUACCGUGAAGAGGUGUGACCGAUGCCAAGCUGUGCUGACCGGCCUCCCGCUGCUUCCUCUCAGAUCCUUGCUGUAACUUAAACAUGAACUUUUUGAGCAUUUAUUCCAUAUCCUUAAUAUCAAGCGCAUGGAAUGCUCUGACGAGGCCUGGGACCACAUCACCAGUUCCGAUACGACCUCUGAUGAUCAGCGGAUACCCGAUGACAUUUAAUUGAUUUUAACAAUUUAGGAAUGACACAAAAUUGUACUUUUUUCCUGAUUUUCCUUUAUUGUGUGAGAUCAAAAUCACGGAAUACAAGCUGAGCACAUGCACACUAGUCCUGUUGUAUUCAUAUUUGUUCACUAAAAUUGUUUUCUAGUGUCAUUUAGGACUUUAUGCAACAUCGCCUUUAAAAAGAUGUCUGGUGUAUCACUCAGAGCGCAUUCCAAAAGAUGCAGACGAGCAUGCCAUGUGGUGCUAUCUCGCGUGUGAUUGGUUGACACAAGGCUACAAAAAGUACCUGAUAAAUAUCCAUCCAAGGACAAUAAAUGUAACACUUCAAUGAGA